rnacentral:rRNA from 1 species
GACGAACGCUGGCGGCGUGCUUAAUACAUGCAAGUCGAGCGAGGUUACUGUUUUGGAUCCCUUCGGGGUGAAGAAGCUUUAACCUAGCGGCGGACGGGUGAGUAACGCGUGGGUAACCUACCCCAAAGUCCGGGAUAACAGCGGGAAACCGCUGCUAAUACCGGAUGCCUUUACCUUGGGGCAUCUUGAGGUAAAGAAAGGCAACGCUUUGGGAUGGGCCCGCGUCCCAUUAGCUAGUUGGUGAGGUAACGGCUCACCAAGGCGACGAUGGGUAGCCGGCCUGAGAGGGUGGACGGCCACACUGGGACUGAGACACGGCCCAGACUCCUACGGGAGGCAGCAGUAGGGAAUAUUGCGCAAUGGACGGAAGUCUGACGCAGCGACGCCGCGUGAGUGAUGAAGGUCUUCGGAUCGUAAAGCUCUGUCCUUGGGGAAGAAGGUCUUCGGACUUGACGGUACCCAAGAAGAAAGCCCCGGCUAACUACGUGCCAGCAGCCGCGGUAAAAAGUACUCUAU